CAGCCAGCCAUCAGCAUGGGCACCUGAGCAGGGACUGAUGUACAUCCGGGAGGCCAGCACUCCCAGGCCUGAAUCUGGGGCAUCUCAGCUCAAGCCAGGGUCUGUCCUGGGGCUCAUAAAGAGAGACAAUCACAGGACAGCUGAUGCAGAGAGCACCCGGGGAUGUGUUCACAUAUCCGCAACUAUAGUCCCAAGUGACCAGCCCAGCCAGUUCAUCUUGGAAAAUAUAACAAGUUAUGAUGGAUUACAGAACCUCACCAUAACAGUGGUAGAAACUGACUACAAUCAGUUCGCCAUUGUGAUUUUCAACUUGACUAUCAAAACCAGGGUGCACUUUGAGAUUAUCCUCUAUGGUGAGUUAUCGCUGCAUCCCCUCAGGGAUCUGGUUCAUGGUCACACCUAUAGAAG